rnacentral:rRNA from 1 species
CAGCCGCCGCGGGAAUACGGAGGGGGCUAGCGUUGUUCGGAAUUACUGGGCGUAAAGCGCACGUAGGCGGCUUGGUAAGUUAGAGGUGAAAGCCCGGAGCUCAACUCCGGAAUUGCCUUUAAGACUGCCGAGCUAGUAGGUGAGAGAGGUAAGUGGAAUUCCGAGUGUAGAGGUGAAAUUCGUAGAUAUUCGGAAGAACACCAGUGGCGAAGGCGGCUUACUGGCUCAUUCUAGACGCUGAGGUGCGAAAGCGUGGGGAGCAAACAGGAUUAGAUACCCCCGUAGUCCCUGUCUCUUAUAC